UGCCCACAUGCAUCUUCUGAGCUCGUGU
rnacentral:piRNA from 1 species